rnacentral:rRNA from 1 species
UACGAAGGGGGCGAGCGUUGUUCGGAUUUACUGGGCGUAAAGGGCGCGCAGGCGGCUUUUCAAGUCAGGCGUGAAAGCCCCGGGCUUAACCUGGGAACUGCGUCUGGGACUGAAGGGCUAGAGUUCGGGAGAGGAGAGUGGAAUUCCCAGUGUAGAGGUGAAAUUCGUAGAUAUUCGGAAGAACACCAGUGGCGAAGGCGGCUCACUGGACCGGUAUUGACGCUGAGGUGCGAAAGCGUGGGGAGCAAACAGG